rnacentral:rRNA from 1 species
UUUCUUCCCGGGGGAACUAGCAUAUCAAUAAGCGGAGGAAAAGAAACUAACAAGGAUUCCCUAGUAACUGCGAGUGAAGCGGGAAAAGCUCAAAUUUGAAAUCUGGCGGUCCUUGGCCGUCCGAGUUGUAAUCUAGAGAAGUGUUACCCGCGCUGGACCGUGUACAAGUCUCCUGGAAUGGAGCGUCAUAGAGGGUGAGAAUCCCGUCUCUGACACGGACUACCAGGGCUUUGUGGUAUGCUCUCAAAGAGUCGAGUUGUUUGGGAAUGCAGCUCAAAAUGGGUGGUAAAUUCCAUCUAAAGCUAAAUAUUGGCGAGAGACCGAUAGCGAACAAGUACCGUGAGGGAAAGAUGAAAAGAACUUUGGAAAGAGAGUUAAACAGUACGUGAAAUUGCUGAAAGGGAAACGCUUGAAGUCAGUCGCGUCGGCCGGGGAUCAGCCUCGCUUUUGCGUGGUGUACUUUCCGGUUGACGGGUCAGCAUCAAUUUUGACCGCUGGAAAAAGGCUGGGGGAAUGUGGCAGCUUCGGCUGUGUUAUAGCCCCUGGUCGCAUACAGUGGUUGGGAUUGAGGAACUCAGCACGCCGCAAGGCCGGGUUUCGACCACGUUCGUGCUUAGGAUGCUGGCAUAAUGGCUUUAAGCGACCCGUCUUGAAACACGGACCAAGGAGUCUAACAUGCCUGCGAGUGUUUGGGUGGAAAACCCGAGCGCGUAAUGAAAGUGAAAGUUGAGAUCCCUGUCGCGGGGAGCAUCGACGCCCGGACCAGAACUUUUGGGACGGAUCCGCGGUAGAGCAUGUAUGUUGGGACCCGAAAGAUGGUGAACUAUGCCUGAAUAGGGUGAAGCCAGAGGAAACUCUGGUGGAGGCUCGUAGCGAUUCUGACGUGCAAAUCGAUCGUCAAAUUUGGGUAUAGGGGCGAAAGACUAAUCGAACCAUCAAGUGGCGCCC